rnacentral:rRNA from 1 species
UGGGCAACCUGCCCCUAGCUCUGGGAUAACACCGGGAAACAGGGGCUAAUACCGGAUAUGACCACGGUGGACAUCCACUGUGGUGGAAAGCUCCGACGGCUAGGGAUGGGCCCGCGGCCUAUCAGCUUGUUGGUGGGGUAACGGCCCACCAAGGCGACGACGGGUAGCCGGCCUGAGAGGGCGACCGGCCACACUGGGACUGAGACACGGCCCAGACUCCUACGGGAGGCA